UCCCUGUUGGCUUAGCAGUAAAGAAUCUGCCUGUGAUGCAGGAGAUUCAGGUUCAGUUCCUGAGUCAGGAA
rnacentral:tRNA from 1 species